GACGAACGCUGGCGGCGUGCUUAACACAUUCAAGUCGAACGCUGAAGCUUGGUGCUUGCACUGGGUGGAUGAGUGGCGAACGGGUGAGUAAUACGUGAGUAACCUGCCCUUGACUCUGGGAUAAGCCUGGGAAACUGGGUCUAAUACUGGAUACGACAUGUCACCGCAUGGUGGUGUGUGGAAAGGGUUUUACUGGUUUUGGAUGGGCUCACGGCCUAUCAGCUUGUUGGUGGGGUAAUGGCUCACCAAGGCGACGACGGGUAGCCGGCCUGAGAGGGUGACCGGCCACACUGGGACUGAGACACGGCCCAGACUCCUACGGGAGGCAGCAGUGGGGAAUAUUGCACAAUGGGCGGAAGCCUGAUGCAGCGACGCCGCGUGAGGGAUGACGGCCUUCGGGUUGUAAACCUCUUUCAGCACGGAAGAAGCGAAAGUGACGGUACGUGCAGAAGAAGCGCCGGCUAACUACGUG
rnacentral:rRNA from 1 species